UACGUAGGGUGCAAGCGUUAAUCGGAAUUACUGGGCGUAAAGCGUGCGCAGGCGGUUGUGCAAGACAGAUGUGAAAUCCCCGGGCUCAACCUGGGAAUUGCAUUUGUGACUGCACGGCUAGAGUGUGUCAGAGGGGGUAGAAUUCCACGUGUGAGCAGUGAAAUGCGUAGAGAUGUGGAGGAAUACCGAUGGCGAAGGCAGCCCCCUGGGAUAACACUGACGCUCAUGCACGAAAGCGUGGGAGCAAACAGGAU
rnacentral:rRNA from 1 species